rnacentral:lncRNA from 1 species
CCAUGUGGCAUUCACCCACUAAUAGAUCCAACCAUCCAGAUGAUGCCAUGUCAUUAAUCCUCUGCACAAUAAAUGAACCAAUCAGGUAUUGCCACAUCACUGCACUUGCCACAUCAGCAUCUUCCCAGAAACCCUAAUUCCCAAUUCAGAAACCCUAAUCCUCUUCCCUAGCCGCCGCCGUCAAUGUCGCAAGACGCCGCGACGGCCAAUCAUCGAAACAGCCCUUUCCCGUCAUCUUUGUCGCCGGCAGACAUCACCCCAAUUCUCACCGACCACCUUGAACGCCACAUAUCCUCCAUCAACGCCGGUGGCCACCGAAUCCCAAAGCCGCCGACGCACAACACCAUCUUCAUCCUCGCGCAAG